AUUGAACGCUGGCGGCAUGCCUAACACAUGCAAGUCGAACGGCAGCACGGCAGUAGCGGAAUACGUGUGGGUGGCGAGUGGCGGACGGGUGAGGAAUACGUCGGAAUCUGCCCAGUCGUGGGGGAUAACUAGCCGAAAGGUUAGCUAAUACCGCAUACGACCGAGAGGUGAAAGCGGGGGACCGCAAGGCCUCGCGCGAUUGGAUGAGCCGACGUCGGAUUAGCUAGUUGGUGGGGUAAAGGCCCACCAAGGCGACGAUCCGUAGCUGGUCUGAGAGGAUGAUCAGCCACACUGGAACUGAGACACGGUCCAGACUCCUACGGGAGGCAGCAGUGGGGAAUAUUGGACAAUGGGCGCAAGCCUGAUCCAGCAAUGCCGCGUGUGUGAAGAAGGCCUGGUG
rnacentral:rRNA from 1 species